UACAGAGGUCCCGAGCGUUGUUCGGAUUCACUGGGCGUAAAGGGUGCGUAGGUGGUGGAGUAAGUUUGAUGUGAAAUCUCCGGGCUUAACCCGGAAACUGCAUUGAAUACUAUUCCGCUGGAGGUUUGGAGGGGGGACUGGAAUUCUCGGUGUAGCAGUGAAAUGCGUAGAUAUCGAGAGGAACACCAGUGGCGAAGGCGAGUCCCUGGACAACACCUGACACUGAGGCACGAAAGCUAGGGGAGCAAACGGG
rnacentral:rRNA from 1 species